CAAGAAAGUUGAAACCUAUUUUCUUCAUGCAGGAUGCCAUAUUUGAAUGUUGUUACUAAUCCUUUAAAUUUUCACCAAGUCUCCCUUUCUUUGCCUAGGAUAAAAGGAAUUUUUUUAUAUAUUAAAUAUAAAAAUACUAUUUAAUUUUUAGUGGGGAGUGCAAGCCCACCCAUUGAAAAUGUUUUAUGAAUAAAUUAUCGUUGCUACUUAUUAAGUUCUCUAUAUUUG
rnacentral:misc_RNA from 1 species